rnacentral:rRNA from 1 species
AACACAUGCAAGUCGAACGCGAAAGGGACUUCGGUCCUGAGUAAAGUGGCGCACGGGUGAGUAACGCGUAGAUAACCUGUCUUCAUGUCUGGAAUAAUACGCCGAAAGGGGUACUAAUACCGGAUAUUCUUGCUUUUCAUAAGUUAUGCAAGCAAAGGUGGCCUCUGCAUAUGCUACUGCAUGAAGAGGGGUCUGCGUACCAUUAGCUAGUAGGUGGGGUAAUGGCCUACCUAGGCGACGAUGGUUAGCGGGUCUGAGAGGAUGAUCCGCCACACUGGCACUGGAACACGGGCCAGACUCCUACGGGAGGCAGCAGUGAGGAAUAUUGCGCAAUGGGGGAAACCCUGACGCAGCGACGCCGCGUGAGUGAAGGAAGGCCUUCGGGUCGUAAAGCUCUGCCAAGAGGAAAGAAGUGUACAAUGGCUAAUACCUGUUGUAUUUGACGGUACCUCUAAAGGAAGCACCGGCUAACUCCGUGCCAGCCGCUGC